UGCUAUGACAUAUCCACCCCACCGUGCUU
rnacentral:piRNA from 1 species